AAUCCCCUAAUCAAUAAGGAUGUCAUUUAUCAUGUUAAAUACUCUUAAUUCAUUCCCGUAACCAAUUGGUAUUUUCUGUUUUUUUUCUGGGUUUUUUAAUGUAAUUUUUGUAGAUCUACGCUUGUUUUUUUAAAUUUUGAAGAAUUUAGCUUGUUGGGUUUUUUUUUAAAUCACUUUAAUUGUCUUUUGGUUGUGUUAUUUGAUAUGAUUUUCUUGGGAUUAUUUGAUAGGAUUUCUGGGUUUUUGAAUUUGGUUCUGAAAUUCGGUAUUUGGGAUUUUUUGGAGGUGGGGGUUGUGUUAAUUGUCAUUAGUUGUUCCGUUUGAAUUGAUGGUAUGAUUUUGGGUAUGAAAUAUUGUAAUUCUUGUAGGAUGUGUCUUGUUUUGGGGCAAGUGUUAAGGUAGAAAUAAUGCUUGUUCUUUGUGUUUUUCACUUCCUUUGUUAUAUUCAACUAUAAUCUGUAGUGCUUUAGUGACUGUCUCUUAACUUCCCCAAUUGUCUGCAGUUUGCAUCUUGUGGAAUUAUGUGGAACGGAUGAAUAUUUUGCCCUCAAGGCAAUGGAUAAAAAUGCAAUGCUCAAUCAUAAUAAGGUACACAGAGCUAUUGCAGAAAGGGAAAUUCUUGACAUGUUGGACCACCCUUUUCUCCCUGCAUUAUAUGCUUCAUUUUAG